rnacentral:rRNA from 1 species
CUCCUACGGGAGGCAGCAGUGGGGAAUAUUGCACAAUGGGCGCAAGCCUGAUGCAGCCAUGCCGCGUGUGUGAAGAAGGCCUUCGGGUUGUAAAGCACUUUCAGUCGUGAGGAAGGUAGUGUAGUUAAUAGCUGCAUUAUUUGACGUUAGCGACAGAAGAAGCACCGGCUAACUCCGUGCCAGCAGCCGCGGUAAUACGGAGGGUGCGAGCGUUAAUCGGAAUUACUGGGCGUAAAGCGCAUGCAGGUGGUUUGUUAAGUCAGAUGUGAAAGCCCGGGGCUCAACCUCGGAAUAGCAUUUGAAACUGGCAGACUAGAGUACUGUAGAGGGGGUAGAAUUUCAGGUGUAGCGGUGAAAUGCGUAGAGAUCUGAAGGAAUACCGGUGGCGAAGGCGGCCCCCUGGACAGAUACUGACACUCAGAUGCGAAAGCGUGGGGAGCAAACAGGAUUAGAUACCCUGGUAG